UACAUGCCCUUGACCGGAAUCUAACCUGGGACCUUUCAGUCCCUAGGCCGAAGCUCUAUCCAUUGAGCCAAACUGAUUUCAGCAUGGCUCCUUUCUUGAUGUUGGUUUUCACAGUCCUGGUGACCAUGCUUGUCUGGGUUUACCACUCACAGUCACUCUUCACUUUCUCCAUGGGUUCUCUCUUGCAUCCUGAUUGUUGUAGCCUUUUGGAAAUUCAUGUUCGUGGAGCAUGGAAAUUGAAGUGCUCCCUCCCCAGGACCGGGAGUGUGCAUUUGUACAUGAUGCUGGCCCACGUUCAGAUGGUUGUCUAUAAUUAAUUGCCCUUGGGACCCUGAACAGUUAUUUCAUUUUUCUGAACCUCAGUCUCUAGUCUAUAAAUGAAAUUGCUAAGGUUGGAGUGAAGGAUGAGUACAUGCAGCCUCCUGCACGCCCCUUACUGGGGACUGAGCCCACAGUCUGUGCAAGUGCCCCGACCAGGAAUCAAACUGUGACCUCUUGGUUCAUAAGUCGACUCUCAAUCACUGAGCCAUGCCGGCUGGGCUCUUCAGACAUUUUUAAAGAGGAGUCUUAGCUAAAUAUUUUGUCGAAUGCCCUUUAAUUUGCUUUGUCUCCCAUUUUCCCAAGAGGGACGUCAGAUGCAGAGAAGGAUGUUCUGCCCUCCUCCCAGUCCUACUGGUGGUUUGUCCAGUGUUGGCACUUGGAUCGUUGAGUCAGGUGGUGUUGGCCAAGUCUCUCUAUUUUAAGCCAUAGCCUUACCCUUUGUACUUGAUAAGUAAUUCAUGGGAAGAGCUUUGAGAUUAACGAUCCCAUUUCUUGUGGAUUUGCAGCGUGUUAACAACACUGACAUUUCCAGGGCCAGCGCUGCAUUUCUGCUUGUUAUCUGUCGUGUUUCUGCCGGGGGUAGCUUUCUCUUUGCCCUUGCUUAUUUAUUUGUUCAUUUGUUACAGCAACAUGGGCUUUGAAUACUUACUUUACACAAUGAAUUGUUAUUAGUAUUAUUUAUUUGGGUGUUGGAAUGGUCCCAGUUGGCACGGGACCAUGGUAAGUUGGUGCUGUCCUUGGAGUGUCCCCAGCAUUCCUUGGACACACCCUUGCUUUUGGUGCAGUUUUAGAUUCCUCUUACGGCUUCUGGGCCUCAGUUCUGCAGCAGCCCUGUGUCCUCCAGCCCCGUGUCCACCCAGACUUGCUCACGGGGUGUCACUGCAUCUGAGCCCUAUCAGCAUGUCCGUCCAUCUAGGGUGAGUUCCAAGACAGAAGGUGAAUCAAGAGAUCUGUAUCUGUUGGAUUCUUUUGUAUAUUACAUUUCUUGAAAUAGGUCAUCAACACGAGUAGAAAAUACUUUGUACUGCAUUGAAUUCAUUUUUGAAUGAUUGUCCUGUGUGAGAAUUCCAAGAGGAUUGAACACCAUUAUUUAAGUAUUAAAAUGAGUUUCUGUAGACCAGGGUUAGUGUCAGGCAUGUUCUUCUGGCAGGACUGAGGUCAGGGUCCUGCAGGGAAGGAGGCUGUCCUGAGGAGUCAGGCCCUGCCCUCUAUGGCAGGGGUGGAGUGCAUUGGCAGUGGCUGUCACAAUAGACCUGACUUGGGGCUGAGGAGCUCCCCGGUGCUGUGCCGGCUCCGGGGUGUCACAUUGCGGGUCACAGCAGACUGCGGGUGUUGUGAGUGUCUUAGGGAGAUCUGAAGAAAUGCCUGAGAGAGAGAAGGUGCUGGUUGCCUGGGGAGAGCACAGGAAGGAGAAGCCUCUCUGGGCAGAGGGGAAGAGCAUGCAGAAAGUUCCUGUGGCAAAGAAGCCACAGCCCAUUUUCUAACGGAGGGAAGGUCAUGCCAGGGCCAGGGAAGGCAGUCGGACAUGAGGUGUCAGAGGACAUGCCUGUGAUGAGAAGAUCAGAAAGUGAGGGAAACUGAGUGGGAAAGACCCUGCUCUGUGUGGAUGGGGAGGCACCUCAGGACGUGCGAGCCCGACUCCCCCCUUGCCCGUCUGCUGCUCUCAGCCAGGGCAGGCAGCAGUUUCUGCCUUGCAGAGCCUGGCCUCACCCCUUCGGGGGGGCUCUCUCUGGAAGAGUCGUGAGUUCAAUGCUCUGUGGCUGGAGGAACCCACAUUAGCAGUCGUCUCCUUUUCAGACCAAGAUUCACGUGGCAGGAAUUGGAGUAUGACUCCCUCAGAGGCUCAGGGCUUUACUUUGUUCCUCCAAAGGCCAGUUAAUUUUGCUUCUUAAAAAUUUCCCCAAACCUAACAGAGCUCAGGGAGAGAGAAUGUUGAGAGAAAGCCCUGAGUCUCUGCCGUUUGCCACCUGCUGUCAGAUCCAGUGUGUGUGCCCAUCGAGCUCUUCUCCAGGAAACACAACUCAGACCCUUUCCGAAAUGUUACAGGAAGCACUCUAGAUGGACGUUGUUGAAGUAUUUGUGUGCUCGCCAUAUGUCAGCGGAGCUUAUUGCAGAGAAUAGGUGAAUGCUGCAAAGGGGACGUGUUCUCCCCUCAGGCUGCAGCUUUAAUUAGGGAAUUGACCAAGGAAGGAGCCUGAAUGAGAAUGGUAGCCUGCUUAUUUCUCCUUAGCGGUUAUCCUUCAAAGACAAAAUGGAGCCUUAAAUGUGUUUGUAUUUAGGAACUUGGCAUAGCAUGCAUAUCAUCUGUUGUCCGGCUUCUGGGUGAGCUGCAGAUUACAGGGGGCGGCCCAGCAUUGUUGUGGUUAAUAGAAACCUGUGCGGGGAGGUCUGCGGGCUGUGAGAUCGUGCAUGGCCCUGACAGUGAGGGGGCCUUAUCGGAGGGAGAAUUCACAAGAGGCUGCCCUGGGACCCCAACCACUGUCCUUCGGUGUGUCCUGACAAUGUUAUCUGUCCUCUCAGUACGGAGUAUCAAGUGUCUGUCAUGAGUACAGAAAUUAAUUUAAUGUCACCUGAAGACAUGCAAUUAAUCUUUUAGAGGUUUUCAUAAUACCUUUACAGAAAGAGUUGCCAGUUUGGCGGAUUUGGACUUUGGGGUUUAGGAGAAGAUAAGGAAAAUUAAUUUUUCAUCGGGUUAAUACAAGCUAGCAGGGCCACAAAGGCUGAGAAAAAUGGUUGGGGAAUUUGUCAAAGUGUUGUCACUCUAGAAUAAUGCUGCUUAGUGUCUGAUAGGUGUAAUCAAGAGUUGAGAUUUCUAUAGAGAGGGAUUAAUCAAUUUGCUCACUAGUGAAUGCACGUCAGCGAUAUCACUUCUUCAUGGGCUUUAAGAAUGAAAAUAAGAUUUGAUCUGUCAAAUUGCAGGGUGCCCUGACAGUAUCAAUAGGCCUUUUUAUCUGUACAUUUAAACCACUCGUUAUAAAUAAAUUUGUCCUGCUCUUGA